CGGCAGACCAGUUCGCAGAGCAGUUGAGAAGGUGCAAUCCUAUAAAGAAGUUCCCCUUAAUACCAAAAUGCGCAGGUAAGAAUGAGCAUGUUCUACCAUUGAGUUCCCACAUUUGUCAUUGUAAGCUAUAACUAAUGUUUGUGUUCUUCUGCAUAUUUAACUGGUGAGAGUGAUGUUGUGCCAUUGUAAGUUUAACAAUUGUUUUAAUGUAAAAGGGGUUUCAAUGAUCAUAGUUCAAAAUCCUUAACAGAACAACAGUUCAUAGUUCAUGACUAACCCCAAAUGUUCAAAAUCUGAUUGGGCCAAAAGAUUACAUCAGGAAGCCCAUGCAAGUCCCUAAUAGAAAACCCAAUGCUCAGUUCCAGAGCCAAACUGCCCAUCAAAUUAAUCCUGUUGUUUCCUCUUUUUGUUGCUUCAUUUUGAAGGAAACAAAAAAAGAAAGGAAAAUCAAGAACAGAAUAGUUAAAAUUGACUAAGCAAUUAGAGUUGGAUCAAUUAGUACACCAAAAAAUAAUUAUCAAUAUGAAUUUAAAGUCCAUAGUUGAAAUCCUUGUACCAAAAAUUAAAAAAAAAAAGAAAUAAAAAAGCUCUUAACAG
rnacentral:misc_RNA from 1 species